rnacentral:rRNA from 1 species
UACGUAUGGUGCAAGCGUUAUCCGGAUUUACUGGGUGUAAAGGGAGCGUAGGCGGCGCGUUAAGUCUGAUGUGAAGACCCGAGGCUCAACCACGGGAGUGCAUUGGAAACUGGCGGGCUGGAGUGCCGGAGAGGUAAGCGGAAUUCCUAGGGUAGCGGUGAAAUGCGUAGAUAUUAGGAGGAACACCAGUGGCGAAGGCGGCUUACUGGACGGCAACUGACGCUGAGGCUCGAAAGCGUGGGGAGCAAACAGG